CUCCGAAGUACUCAACCUCCGGUCGUGAUUCUCCGAGAUCUUCUUCGUUAAACACACCUGUAUAGAAGAAGCAUCGAGGGCGUAGAUGGAGUAUCUCUUGGGAAAGACGCGUGUAUUGAAUCCUGUUGCGUCGAUGUCAAUGCCUCCAGGUGUGAAAUCAUUUUCGAUCGAUAAAUCGAUCAAUGGCGAUCGUUUGGUCCCACCUCCACCGUUUGGCCGGCCGAUCUGCAUAGGAACCGGCGCAGCGAGAAGUCGGCAACUUUAACUGGCCUAAAUGGGUUUAACUCGAUGUGAUUUUGCCGGCGAACCACUAAAUUGAACGAAUACGAACUAAACUGAACUCAACUAAGCUAAUCAUAUCACAUUACUAGCGUUAUUAGCCGAGCGACGAUAUAAGCGAAGGUCCGGUGAUGGCAGACUGCAGUACCGGGUUGCCUCCUGCACUGACCCUCGCGACCACCAUGUUGACUUCCGACAUUCCUCCGGACCCACUUCCGGUAUCUCCACCGCCUGCUUCCGGGGAUCCUGCAAAAAGUUCAGAUUUUCUGGAAAGCCCGUUUUCGAGGGUACCAACUUGCCGACUCCGCGCCGAUUCCGCGGUCCAAUGUGCCGACCGGAUGUUGGAGCUGUGCGAAUUCGAGAUACCCAUUCAUUAUCCUCCGCGACCAUCCAACACGCUCCGGAGCAGCGCAGAGCCGCGAGUGGAGUGCGCGGGAGUGAGCGCGCGAUUUUAAACCAGGAUUUACCGUGUGACUCCGCGGUCGGCCGUUUCCGAAGUCUCACGAACGCGGCCGAACAUGGCCGACCGGACCACGCCGUCCUUUUCCGAAGAAAUUAUCCACUUAACGGGCGGAAACGGAGUUUUCGAUUCCGUUUAACGAUGCGACUCGAUGCCAGAGUUUCGGUUGCCCGACAAAACCUAGAAAAGAAAAUUCCUACUUGGAUGGUUAUUUGUCAAAUUGAUACGAAAAUGAAUCCCGAUCUCCGGAGGGCAUUUCCGCGCCGACCAAGAUGGCCGACGCUGCCAUUCCACAAGAAACUGUAUACUUUAGGCUAAAAUUCGGUCCUAGAUUAUUAAGAUCUAUCUCUGAUUAUUUUACGUACAUAAACUGUAGCUACACUAAUCCUUACGUAACCAGGGCGAAUAUUGCAACGCGAUAAGCACAAGCAAGAAUAUUUAGAUCUAAUCUUUGUCGACUUCCCUCAACUACGACGACUGGUUAAAAAUGAAGAAAAGUUACUUUAAGGGACAAUGUACGGAAAGUCUAAAAGUUUUAGCUCGUAACGACUGUGUCUUUCCAUCAAAUAUGUCAUCCAUUGCAGAAAUUCGUUUGACGCCGAAACUCGUUGAAAUGCAUGGUUUAAAAAUGUCA